rnacentral:lncRNA from 1 species
AGUACUAAAUGUGAUUACAGAGAAACUUAAUAGUAUAGUAUCUAAAAAUGGGGUUCUGUGACAUUGACAGUUUCCCCACCACGCCUUAAAAACCUGACCUGAAAUUAUAGAAGACAUUUCUAUUCUUCGUUAUUCUUGGAGAUUCUUUUAUUUCAACCAUUCGGAAAAGGGCUAACUCAUCGCCUCCCAGCUUUCAUCAUGUUCUGCAACAGUGAGCACAGCAAUCCUGCUGUCUGCCUGGGAUGGGUCAUGGAACCCUUCACUGAACCCUCUAAGUCUGCAUUGUUCUUGCCCAGCUCUAGUGGAAGACUUUGUAUCCUUAAAUAUGGGAAAAAUGACAACAUCAGGAAGCAUAUACUCAGAAACUGAGGUCCUUGAAAUAAAGGGGUCUGAGCAAAGGAGGUGGGGGCAACUAAUGAAGAAAACUUAAGGAAAAGUUUUUGGAACCUAUUGGUGUUUUACCUAACUUUUAUCCUUGGGUGAGAAGGACUUCUUUCAUAUGUACAAAAUAUAGACGGAGGAGUAGGACGAUUUUGUGUAGGGGUCAAUUUCUCAUGAGAACAUGACACCUAUGAUGAAGCUUCUAGAGGUCAGUAACUAAUUAUAUUUAUGGGCCAACCCACCUCCAAGUGACCAGUGACUACUGGAGAGGUGGUCUUGGCAGGCCAAGUAACAGAGGCAGGGCUUAGUUUCUGGAUUAAGAAUAAAGUGACUGUAGUAGAGGGAAAAACACAAGAAGCAUGGACUAUGGUGACCAACCUUGAUGUUAGGAAUUCAUGUGCGUACCAGCUCUAUAUCCUUGGCUGGUCAUUGACCACCCUGAAGAUCAGGUCCCUUAUCUGUCAAACUGUGGUCUUCCUGCUGGCCUCAUAGAGUGUCUUGUAAAUCCAUGUAAAAGUGGUCCGUGGAAUGCUGGUAUAAUGUAUCAGCUCAAAAAAACAUUAGCUGGAUUGAAUAGAAAGGUGAUACUCCAGCACACAGACUCAUCCAUGCAGUGCCCUUGCUUAAUGGCCAUGGCUUAAAUGUGCCCUGCAAGGGAGAGGCUGGCACUUUGGGCUGUGGCCCAUUCAGUGUUACAAUGCUACAAUGCUACAUGCAGUUGGAACAAGAGGUCAAAAUUAUCCAGGACAGUUUAAGCAAGACGUUUAAAAUAUAGACCCUUAAUCAUGAUUUAUGUUCUACCCUUUAUCUUCAAACAUGCUUUAAACAAAAUGCGAGUUUGGGAGAAAACAAAAUCAUUAUUUGAAUGAGGCAGCCCUUGGAAUGCCCCUGUUGUUAUUAAUAACAGUGAACACCUACGCUGUGCUGGAAAAUAUACUAG